AUUGAACGCUGGCGGCAUGCCUUACACAUGCAAGUCGAACGGCAGCACGGGUGCUUGCACCUGGUGGCGAGUGGCGAACGGGUGAGUAAUAUAUCGGAACGUACCUUAUUGUGGGGGAUAACGCAGCGAAAGCUGUGCUAAUACCGCAUAAUCCCUAAGGGGGAAAGCGGGGGACCGUAAGGCCUCGCGCAAUUAGAGCGGCCGAUACCUGAUUAGCUAGUUGGUGAGGUAAAGGCUCACCAAGGCAACGAUCAGUAGCUGGUCUGAGAGGACGAUCAGCCACACUGGGACUGAGACACGGCCCAGACUCCUACGGGAGGCAGCAGUGGGGAAUUUUGGACAAUGGGGGCAACCCUGAUCCAGCAAUGCCGCGUGAGUGAAGAAGGCCUCGGUUGUAAAGCUCUUCGUCAGGAAGAAACAGCAGCUCUAACACAGUCUGCGAAUGACGGUACCUGAAGAAUAAG
rnacentral:rRNA from 1 species